AGAAAGAUCUCAAAAUUUUAAGCAGAAUUUUCUUUCUCUGUGUGACUGUGGUAACAAAUCGGAGGCAGAAGAGAACCCCAAAUAGAAGAAGGCAAAGUUGGUGAAAGGACUAUGCUGUUGGGAAGAUUCUGCGGUGGGCUUCCUACUGAGGCCUCUGAGCCGGUAUACAGUAUGGCUGUCUGACCAGAGCUCCCAAAGCCUCCUGCCAGGUAUCUACUACAUCAUCAA
rnacentral:lncRNA from 1 species